UCGGGAAUUUUGGGCAAUGGGCGAAAGCCUGACCCAGCAACGCCGCGUGAAGGAUGAAGUAUUUCGGUAUGUAAACUUCGAAAGAAUAGGAAGAAUAAAUGACGGUACUAUUUAUAAGGUCCGGCUAACUACGUGCCAGCAGCCGCGGUAAUACGUAGGGACCAAGCGUUGUUCGGAUUUACUGGGCGUAAAGGGCGCGUAGGCGGCAUGACAAGUCACUUGUGAAAUCUCUGGGCUUAACCCAGAACGGCCAAGUGAUACUGUCGCGCUAGAGUGCAGAAGGGGCAAUCGGAAUUCUUGGUGUAGCGGUGAAAUGCGUAGAUAUCAAGAGGAACACCUGAGGUGAAGACGGGUUGCUGGGCUGACACUGACGCUGAGACGCGAAAGCGUGGGGAGCAAACAGGAUUAGAUACCCCUGUAGUCCCUGAGCGGGCUGGCAAGGCGCAU
rnacentral:rRNA from 1 species